GCUUUCGGCGCCAUUUUCGAGUGAUGCCUGAUCUCAUCAAUCUAGCGGGAGAGACAGGAUAACCUGUCCGAGAGUAUAGCGCCACUAUGACUCCGCCGGAAAAAUUACUUUAAAAAUCGCCAAAAAUUACUUGGAGCAAAGGGCAGUCGGCGGAGCUUCGCCAAGGCUGGCGCAGUCGGUUUUGACCUGUAGCAGAGAACCAAUUCUGGAGAACAGCCUCACUUCUUUGAUUGAAUACUUACAUAAUGCAUUGGAACAUGACAUGAGAUUAAGUGUAUAAAGCCAAAUGUCCCAUUUAAAGUUUGACAUUUGCAAUAGCAUUCUAUUUAAAAGGUUUAAUAAUGAUAGAAUGAAGACCACAAUAAAAGAGACCUCUACUUAGCUCAGCAAUUCUUACCUUUCUUACCUAUUUGAUGAAGAUGUCUUUUGAAAGGUGUACUGCAAGGAACAAAAUGUUUGUAAAUUCUCCUUUUACCAAGGUGGAUAAUUACUGUACCUUCCUCAUGGAAAAAGUUUUAUUUAAAGUGUUAUUUCUCAUUGAAUACUAUCAAAAAGGAAAAAAAAAUGACCUAAACUUUUGAGAUAGAUUUGGCUCUAGUAAGUAUUUAGUUAUAUCACUUGCAUAUCUGGGAGAAGAAAUAAGAGACUAUCAUCAGUACAUUCCCAUCUACUAAAAAAAUUUAUUUUACACAUGUCAAGGGAUUACUUAUAACUUCCAUUUUAUUACUAAUAGCUUGAACCCUUUUAAUGAAGACCUAACUCCUCCACCAGAAAUUUAAGUUUAUGUUCUUACUUUGUUUACUUAUAAAAUACAUCUCAGGUAUUUCGGAUGUCUUUUUUUUUUCUAAGCCUAUAUGAAAUGAAAAAUAUAUUGGCAAAAUAAAUGUUUAAACCUUUUACGUUAAAAUUACUUUGAAAGAUGAAAAGUUAGUGCUGUUUUUGUCUACGUUAUACUGAAAUUAAAUGUUUAUAAUUUAUAUUUUGGGUUUAUGUAUAAAUCAUGGAAUUUAUGCAAAAAUAUGAGUAGUACAGAUUCUCCUCUAAUUCUGUAGGACUUUGAAUAAUGUGAUAUUUUUCUUAUAAUUGGACCCUUGUGUUUUGAAGAAAUGCCAACUGCUUGAAGAAUCUCCUUGUUAUUUGUAUUAUUUGCUAUAGGGUUAGAUGUUGAGAAAUUCUGCUGACAAAAAAUUUUAAGCCAGUUUUACACUAAAUGUUCCUCAGUCUGAUUAAUUUGUUAUUGGAUGUAUUCUGUAUCUUUCUUUUGUAAUUUGUAACUUUUAUCCACUUAGCACGAAUGAUUCUAUUAAAGAAAAUCAUUAGGAAGUGGUAGAAACUUUAAAUCGCCCCAGAGUUUGCCUGUUUCCAUAUUUUAUUAUCUUAUAAUCUUCGGGAGUGCUUACACUUAUGGAGCUAACAUUUUCAGAGAUACAGCUUCUUAUAGUAACACUAAAACUUUCUUCCUCUUUGGACUGAAUACCUAUAAUUAUAACUAUAUGGUAGUUUAAGUUUCCUUGUGAUUAGUCAAAAAUACCAUUUUAGUAUGAAGCAAUGAAGUCUAUUAUUUGUUGUCCCAUAAUUGAGAAAGCUUAAAUACACCUUUUAUUAAGAGUUUGUAAAUUCUAGCUUAGUCUACACAGAUUUUUAUAUCAAUUUGUUUAUAUUUUUAUUAAUGUCAUUUCUGGAAGUGUGAAAAUGUUAAUGUUCAACAAGCAACAUUAAAAAUAGAUUUGAAACAUUUAUAUA
rnacentral:lncRNA from 1 species